GAUGAACGCUGGCGGCGUGCCUAAUACAUGCAAGUCGAGCGAACGGACGAGAAGCUUGCUUUUCUGAUGUUAGCGGCGGAAGGGUGAGUAACACGUGGAUAACCUACCUAUAAGACUGGGAUAACUUCGGGAAACCGGAGCUAAUACCGGAUAAUAUUUUGAACCGCAUGGUUCAAAAGUGAAAGACGGUCUUGCUGUCACUUAUAGAUGGAUCCGCGCUGCAUUAGCUAGUUGGUAAGGUAACGGCUUACCAAGGCAACGAUGCAUAGCCGACCUGAGAGGGUGAUCGGCCACACUGGAACUGAGACACGGUCCAGACUCCUACGGGAGGCAGCAGUAGGGAAUCUUCCGCAAUGGGCGAAAGCCUGACGGAGCAACGCCGCGUGAGUGAUGAAGGUCUUCGGAUCGUAAAACUCUGUUAUUAGGGAAGAACAUAUGUGUAAGUAACUGUGCACAUCUUGACGGUACCUAAUCAGAAAGCCACGGCUAACUACGUG
rnacentral:rRNA from 1 species